UCUCCAUGUGACUCUUGGAAUGUGACUCUUGUAAAUCGCUAAGCAACCCUUGGGAUAGGAAUCCUUUGUUACCCGAAAGCCGCAGUCUAUCAUUUAUCGUUAAUCAAUGUCUCUAUAUAAGUCUAUAUACAUCUACAAGAAGACCAACUGUUCCGAUCGAAAUAUUGCAAAAUAGAAGCGGGUGAGCAGUAUAAUUUGUGCACAACGCCAAGAAUGCAGGAGAACGCCGAGAAAGUGGGAGAAGAGGGAAUACAAUAAUGAAGAACGAUAAUCAUAUGAUAAUCCGAGGGAGAAAGGAACAAUGGACUGAAAGGAAGGGAAAAGCGAGCAAAAAGGGCUCAUGUACUAAAAAAGCGGGCCCCUUGCGCUCACGAAAACAUCAACUUUUCUUUUUCUUUUUCUUUUCUUACUUUUUUUUUUUUUUUUUCAAAACUUCGUCUUCAACUUCGAACCAGUCAACCUCAACCUAGCAAGAGCAUAAAACACAGCCCCUCCAGCCAUAACAAUUCCCGAGAACAACUGCAUCCGCCAGAACGUCGGUUGUUCAAUGUUCCCCACAAGGGCACCGCCGAUCGGGUUUCCCGUAAGGCUGGCUAAGGAUGAGACAGCAAACAUCACACCUGUGCGUAUACCGAUCUGGCGCACGUCGGAGAUUUGCGCUACCAACGCUGGGUUAAGGGAAACAAAGGCGCCGGAGGUAAAGCCGAAAAAAGCGGAAAACAGGAGAAUGGGGAUGUUGCCCCGGGCGGGCAGCCAGAGAGCCAGGACCAUAAUGACGUUCAGUACACUGGUUAUUACCAUGAUAUUGAAACGGCCGAAGACGUCGGCGGCAUGGCCCGGCAGGAUACGACCGACCGUGCUAUAUAUGGUCGCUUAGUUAAUAUCUAACCUGGAUGGGCUGUUUUAAGGGAGUUUGUGAAGGGAGACUCAAGAGGAUUUUGCUCUAAGUUGUGGGAAUGGGCAUACCUGGCUCCGUUCAUGAUUGAAACAAGAUAACCUGCUAGACGUGGCGACAUCCCAUAGUAGCGAGCAGUCGAGACGAUAAAUGUGAACGGUAAGAAUAGCCCGAAGAAGGAUAGCCAUGCGCCUGACGUGGCCAAGAGGAAUGGCAGCUCUGUGAAGGGGGUCAUGAAGUCCUUGAAUUUGAACGGCUUCGGCUGAGGUGGUAUCCUCGACUUUACCGUCAGAUUUACAAUGAUGCAUAAGCCCAGGAUGAGAAAGGCGCAAAUCCUCAUAGUCCAGCCAAAUCCCACCUGCGGAACUAGCUUCGCCACCAUGAUAGGAUAUAUCACUCCACCGAUGCUUGAGCCACUGGCCGCAAUUCCAAACGCCAAUGCCCGUCUCUUGAAAAACCAAGUUGUGAUGCUAUUGACACAAGGAUAGAAAAGCGAUCCAGCGCCAAGUGCACUGCAAAUGCCCUGG
rnacentral:sRNA from 1 species